GCUGAGACCAAGUUUGAGAUCUAUUUAUGUAUUAUUUCACUAGAGCCUAUCAUUUUAAGCUCUAUGAAGAUGUUGAAGCUAAAAGAUUCAUCCAUCAGCCUGCAAGUUUCAUCUGCCAUAUGAGUUUUUUUUUGCGUUGAGGUUUCCGUGCUGAUAAGAUUAUUUACUGAAAUUGAGUGAUAUCAUAAGGGUGUUUAGCGUAAUUUAUUCUCAUAUUAAUUUUCAUCUGCAUAAACUUUCAGACUUUCUGAAUCCAUUUUAUUCCAGAAAUAUUUGUGAAAAGCUUGGCUGGAAUCUCAUUUUCCCCGUGUAGCUACAAUUUUGUUCUUACUGGCCAGAUCUGUAACAAGAUUGUUCGCAGUUCUAUUGUAUUUUUGUCAUAAAAAAAGAAUACUUAUAUUAUCAUUUUUGUCGGACUCGGCAUUCUAAACAAAAAGAAGAAUAAAUAAUGAUUAAAAAAAAGGUAAAAAAGCAAAAAAGAAAAGACAUAUAAUUAAAAAAAAAAAAAAGUCAUUGUAUAUACUGUCAUGAGUUGCUUUCCAGCUAUGCCCCUUGACCCCUUGGUCGCCCCAUAGCGCCCUGACAAUUCUCCAGGCACCUAUGACAAGUGCGCCUGUACUUUUGUCGCCUGAAUAGUAGCGCACACUUAGCAACAGGCAAUGCCAACAUCACCCGUAAGCGGCCACAACCAGUGCCCUAGAAGCCAAGCCAUGCGUGCAACGUGCACACGCUGAAACUGAGUGUGCCGCCCACUGGACCAACUUGCUAUUUGUUUGAAGUCUGGAUCCUUUUCCAUCAGGGAUCUAGUGGUUGAAGUUUCCAACAAUCAAACAAUUGUGUAUUGGUUUCUCCUCCCGCUCGGCACCACGUUCGCUUUCUUGUUCUCUUUAAUACAAGCAAACUUUUGAUCUUGAUAUUAGCUUUCGGAUUUCCCAUAUAGCAGUUAAAUUGGUAGGGUAAUACAAACACUAAUAUAGUUUCGAAUUUAAAUGUACAAGUUAUAAAUCGAUCCAAUUUAAGGAUGAUCUUUAUGUACUAACCCGAAAUAAUAUUAUUAAGCGGAUAAAUAGGUCUAAUGACCAUGUGUUA